rnacentral:SRP_RNA from 1 species
GCCGGGCAUGGUGGCGCACGCCUGUAGUCCAAGCACUUGGGAGGCAGAGGCAGGUGGAUCUCCAUGAGUUCCAGGCCAGCCUGGUCUACAUAGUGAGUUCCAGGCCAGCUGGGGCUACAGGGAGACCCUGUCUCAAAAAAGACAACCCCAGCUGGCCUGGAACUCACUAUGUAGAUCAGGCUGGCCUUGAACUCACAGAUAUCCGCCUGCCUCUU